GGAACCACCUGAUCCCUUCCCGAACUCAGAAGUGAAACGACGCAUCGCCGAUGGUAGUGUGGAGUCUCCCCAUGUGAGAGUAGGUCAUCGUCAAGC
rnacentral:rRNA from 1 species